AAGUCGUAACAAGGUUUCCGUAGGUGAACCUGCGGAAGGAUCAUUAACAACAUAACCUAGUAGAAAUAGCAUGCGGCAAGGCAUGAUUUUUUGUACUGGACUACCCCGAAGCAGGGCGCACUUUGCAGCUGACAUCGGCAUUGCUGUGGGAAGGGUAGUACGCUCAACGUUUGCUGGAGGCCACCACGGCCGGCAACCAGUGCAUAGAGCCCAGGGCCAAUGCGUUAUGAGUGGUGAAAACCCCAGUAACGUGAUACCCUGGAUACCACGCUCAAUAUUAACCCCUUCAACGAUCCUGUUGGCUUGGCCUAACGGCUUUGAGCCCUUUAAAACCCCAUUAUACGACUGUUAACAAUGGAUAUCUCGGAUCUC
rnacentral:misc_RNA from 1 species